rnacentral:rRNA from 1 species
GACGAACGCUGGCGGCGUGCUUAACACAUGCAAGUCGAACGGAAAGCCCUGGUUUUGUGGGGUGCUCGGGUGGCGAACGGGGGAGGAAAACGGGAGUAACCUGCCCUUGACUUUGGGGUAACUUCAGGAAACUGGGGCUAAUACCGGAUAGGAGCUCCUGCUGCAUGGGGGGGGGUGGGAAGUUUCGGCGGUUGGGGAUGGACUCGCGGCUUAUCAGCUUGUUGGUGGGGUAGUGGCUUACCAAGGCUUUGACGGGUAGCCGGCCUGAGAGGGUGACCGGCCACAUUGGGACUGAGAUACGGCCCAGACUCCUACGGGAGGCAGCAGUGGGGAAUAUUGCACAAUGGGCGGAAGCCUGAUGCAGCAACGCCGCGUGCGGGAUGACGGCCUUCGGGUUGUAAACCGCUUUCGCCUGUGACGAAGCGUGAGUGACGGUAAUGGGUAAAGAAGCACCGGCUAACUACGUG